GUACCAUUUUAUGCACAGACCCAUGUCUGAGAGCAGGCGAUUCUAGCGGUCUCUCCAGCGGCACAGCGCAUACCCAAACCUCCCCAGGGUGACAUCAUCCCAUAUAUGGACUCUCCAGCCCAGCCCUCCCCCUUUUCCUGGUCCUAAAUUCAUUGCCAGUUCCCCAGUCUGCAGCAAAUGUGCCACGUCAAGACUGGAAAUCACAGCCCUUGAGUGUGUCUCAGUCAGCGCAGCAGAAUUCAGGGGGGAAAGCUGAAUGCAACCCCUGGUGCAGGAAGGGAGGCUUUUCCUGAGGACCGGGAGAGGAUUUUAAGUACAUAGAAGGAAGCUUCUGGAGAUCCUGCUCCGUCGCCCCAGUGUUCAGACUACCUGUUCAGGACAAUGCCGUUGUACAGUAGUCUGCACAUUGGUUAGACUGGGCAAGGGAGAGCAACGCCAUGGACCGCUGGGGACAAAAUGGGCUGUUUCCAAGGAGAAGACAUUUGUUUGCUCCUUUUUUGAAUCUCAUAUCCAGUGUUUUUCUUCACAGGUUUUGCACACUAGGGACCAAGAAGCCCUCGGGGACACUGCUGAGAAAAGACUGCCGAAGGGAAGACCAGCGGGAGAUAUACAAAUAUUUUAGGGAUCAUGGAAUCUAUUCCAGAGGAAACUAACCAACAGUGAGCAUCUUCAACUAAAACUACCCCUGGAUGUAAUAAGUGUUGCAUGCAUCAUUCCUUUAAUUGAGCAGAGUUAACUGGAUCAAAUUAUUUAUGGGAGAGAGAGGAAAAGUUAUAAAGAAUUAUAGUAAUUUUUAAUUUCCACCAAUAUACUCUUUGUAAGUGAAUCACUCUAUAAUUACUUUCUGUUGCACUGAAUGCAGCAACAAUAACACAAUAGUAUUUUAAGGCACUGGUUUUUGGCAUACUCUAACCUUGUAAUUAUUUAAAUAACAGCCAAGUUUACUCAUGUUUUUGAUUCUGUCAAGAAAAAAAAAAAGUUCCUUUACUCGAAAGUGAUGGCCGAAACAGAAUCGGAAAUUUGUUUUCUUGAAAUUACAUAAAUACACAGAAAAUGGCACUUAUUAGCUUUUGUUAAAACAUUACCUUACCUAAUCACUGCAUAAAAGUCCAGAUUUGUAGAAAAUUGUAAUUUUCUCAGUAUCUAAAACUAUUUUGCUUUCCAUUAAGUUUCUAUUUGCUAUUUUCUCAGAAUUUUACAAUUAAAGAUAAAUCACAAACUGUUUGUUUUUCUUAAAGUUCUUUGAGAAAAUGUCUAAUUAUACAAUCCUUGGACAAUACUGUGUUUUUUUGGUGCUGUGUUUUUUAAGAAGUCCUACUUACUGGAAUUUUGACUAUUUGGAUAUUUUUGUUUUUAAAAGGGGAGGGGAAUUUGCUUAAUACUUCUAAAGAUGUGAAUUGAUAAUUGAUAUUAAAAUAGAAUUACUCUCAACUCACCAGAAUUAAAUUUUAUAUCUGCAUAUUUAACACUAUUAGCUCAUAUAAAUUAUAAGAAAAAUUUUCAAAGGAUCUGGUUUUAAUUUUUUGGAUAUGAAAUGAAUUUGCCUUUUCUGCCUUUUCUUAAGUACUAUUUUGUAACUAUAUUGCACUAACUAUAUCCAAAACACAUUCUGAGCAUCACUGUGAGUAACAGCCUUCCAGUUUGUACCCUUUUGAUUCACAGCAUGGCCCUAUAGUUAAUUAAGAGGUGGAUAACUUAAGCUCACAACUGCCUUUAAUUUGAUUUCACAUCCACAGUUAUAAACUUUGCAUUUAAAAGGAAAAUGAGACAUUUAAAUAGGUUCCUGUUGUUUCACAUAUAAUUGGUAAAAACAUAUUCCCUUGUAGGAUCCUAUUAUCAGAGCAUCAAAUACCAAAGUCAGCAACUUGGGUUGCCAAAUAAAUUAGGCUCAUUAAUUAUUUUGAAAAGGGCUGCUGUUUCCAUGUAAAUGAUAAUUUUCUUUUUCAUGGACAAGGUUAUGGUACUUAUCUACUAAAAGAAACAUGCAUAAACAUAGUUUUUAUCUUUAACUUCAGUAUUAAAAUAUGCAGUUUUUUGCAAAGAGGAAAAACAUCUGGUUCAAUUACGCUGAACUCUGACUACAUGUGGGCCAGUAAUAAUAUGAAUUGGACUUAAGAAUAAACCUUGUGUUUAAUCUCUUUUUUUCCUUAAAAUUUUAAUGUGAGUUUUCUGUUACGCAAAUUAUCCAUGUUAGCACAUUUGGAACAAAUGUAUAAAUGUACUUUCUGAAUAAAGUCAAAAGUCUAACUUGUUUUUAGUUCCAUAAUGUUUUAAUGUUUAAUUAUAUUGUGUAUUUUUCUCCCUUUCCCCUUACUCUCCAAAAUCACCAAAUCUGGAAAACAGGCUGAUUGUAUCUGUCUAUGAGCAAAGGAAACCUGAAGGAACCAAGGGCCUGGCUGGACAGAGUUGUCAUGUGUCUGCCUGUCUACACUUGCUGUGCAGAACAUCCGCUCACCUGUACAGCAGGCACAGACAGGCAGUCACAUGACAACCCAGCCUGAAUGACAACCAGCCAUUGAAAGAAAGCAGCCCUCACACCAUAGCAUCUACACCAAGAGCUACAACCAAAAUGAGGGGCUCGGGGGCCUGGGGUUUUAAUCUGUUGGUUUAAUACUUAACUCAUGUAUUAUUUUAUUUUGAUUCAAGUAUUAAAACCCACCAAAAGUAAAGUGAGUGGUGCCUAUGAAAUAUAAUAAAACCCAUUUCUGAAAAUGUUCCUGUGCAUUCUAUAGUUCUCUUUUCCUAAUUGUUGUCAGCAAAUCACUACCCUUGACCUUUAUUGUACACAGCUUUGCAGCACCCUAUAUUGAUAUAAAAACUCAAUAUAACAAAACAAUAUAACUUCAGUCUGAUGCUUAACAAAGAAUAAAUUAUUCUAAGAAUUCUUGUCCAUAAACUAAGUAUGGUUUUCUAUGUCAUGAUUUUUUUUUUUUUUUUUUUUUUUUGGAAGGGGAUAGGGUGGAAAGACAGAGAAAAGAAAAGGGAGAAAAAGAGUAUUCCAAAGGAUCAAGUGCUUUGAGUUAACUCUGCCAGUCUGGGUUAACUCUGCCAGUCUGGGUCUGGGCAAAACACAGUGAAAAGACUACUAUUUCCAACUAGUGUUCAACUAUAUUAAAAUAAUAGUUUCUCCUCUUUUGACAUAUGGAAAGUUGAAAUUUUUGAUACUUCCACGCGUCAUGGUAUACAUAAAUUUAUGACUGCGUCAUUCUUUAAUUAAGAAGGUGCUUAUGCUACAGUUCUAGGAGUAGAAUUUACAAGGCCAACACAUUCACUUGCAACCUAUGCUUCCAUCACUAUAAACUUUCAAGAUCUUGAGAUGUUCAGGCAAUUCAUUUAUCUUCAGAAGCAUAAGGAAAGUGGUUAAUGCACUUGAAAUGUAUAUUUUGACACAUCUUUUGAGAAAAUAUCCAAACUUCAGUUUAUGCACUGUUAACUGGAGUGAAAUGAUAAGGGAUGGCUUUUGUCUAUGAAUACUUUAAAUACUUAAGGGUAAAAGGUGGGAAGAUGGAUAAAAUUAGAAAUGUGUCAACUUUUAUUUAGUUCAUUAACAUGUUUUAGCUUCAGUAUUUGAAAUUAAUUUUCAUCUUUCUUAGAUUCUGGUCAAGCUUAAAAAAUGUAACACAAGGCUACUCAAAACUUUUUUCACAUUUAACAAUUAAACACUUUAUGUAUGUAUUCUUAACUAAAGCAAACUAUUUUUCAUUCAGCUAUUUUAUUUUUAAAAUGAAAGUCUCAGUCUUAAAGCUAAGAUCCCAGUGAGUUUCAAAUUUUCUGACAAUGAUAUUUUAACCAAACCUGACAUUAUAGUUUCUUUAAUUAAAAAACUGAAUGAUGGGGCAAAACUACAAAGCACAAAUAUGAUUAAAGUUAAAUUUCUCUCAUUUAAACAAUCUUGUCUUAUGGCAAUAUGUCAUCUGCUAAAAUUCAUCUCUGCUUCUGCAAGAUACAUUGCACGAUGCAGAUUUUUGCCUUAAAUAAAAGUCCCAUUACUAGCAAAUAAAGUCCUAAACAAUACUUACAAAAUGUAGAAUAUAAACAGGAAGACAAUAUAAAAAUUACUCACAGAAUAUCGACAUCGUUCUACCCAAUCUUAAAUGCCUUGUACCACCUGUUGCAAAUGCUGCCUAUGAGAGUUCACGUAUGGAAUUAUUCUACUGGACCCUGCAAGGCUCAGGAGAGUGCUUGACAGCUCCCAGAAUGAGACAAUGACCUAGCCAGAACAUUAAGGAGACUACACCCGUCCUUCAGACUCCAAAGGGAAAGCUAGGACGGCAGCAGAGUCAUCCUAAGGACAAGCUUUCCGCAGUAAGGACGAACCAGUAUCCCUUCGAGCCGCCUUUCAUGAUGCCAAUGUUGCUGAUGUUGAAGAAGGAAGGCCAAUCCCAGAGAAAAUUAUGGAAUAGACCACGGUUCUCAUCACUGUCUUCCAAGCCUCUCUCCAUAUUUCCAGCCCCUGUCACCCUUGAUUCCCUGUUUCAGCAUUGCCUUGGUGCCCAAUUUCCAUUUCAGUGUGCUGUUGCUUUUAUAACCCCCAUUUAGCAUCCCUCUCCAGUCUGGGCUAAUGCACUUUUCUCCACGGCUUUUUAACUCUCUACUUCACAAAGAACAGACUAAUACUCAAAGUAUAGUGAUAGUAUAGUAUAGUGAUAUAGUUUAGCUAUGUCCCCACCCAAAUCUCAUCUUAACUUUUAACUCCCACAAUUCCCAUGUGUCAUGGGAGGAAACUGGUGGGAGGUAACUGAAUUAUGGGGGAAGAUCUUUCCUGCACUGUUCUCGUGAUAGUAAAUGAGUCUCACAAGACCUGAUGGAAUAAAAAUGGAAGUUUCCCUGCACAAGCUCUCUUUUUGUCUGCUGCCAUCCAUGUAAGACGUGACUUGUCUCUCUUUGCCUUCCACCAUGAUUGUGAGGCCUCCCCAGCCAUGUGGAACUGUAAGUCCAUUAAACCUCUUUUUCUUUUUCUUCCCAGUCUCGGGUAUGUCUUUAUCAGCAGCAUGAAGACAGACUAAUACAGUAUGGUUUCUACCAGUUAUAUUACAAUCAUUCAAAUGCUUUAUAAAAAUACAGAUUCCUGGGCCACCUACCAUUCCAAAUGAAUGAGAAUGUAUAUAUAUGAAACCCAAAAAUCUACAUUUAAAUAUGUUGCCAAGGUGAUUCUUAUUCACAAUGAAGCUUGAAGCCCGUGCAUGCACACAUACAAUCAAACUUUAUUUUCCAUAGAGUAAAUGAUCACAUCUAUUUAAUAGUUUUGAGUAAGAAGGAGCUGGUUAAAUUAUUUCACACUAAGACCAUUACCCACCCUACCAGGGCUUACAAGUAGCAUGCUAAUCAUACCACUCAAUGAAAAUAUACUAGUUAUUUCAUUGUAUCAGAGAUGCAGAGCAAGGGUGCUGGCAUCAGUAUGUAUAAUAAAUAAAUAUUAAAUAUGAAUCUGAGCUUUCUUAUUUUCUCGUUAAAACUACGUAUCAGUAGAUAUCUUACUAUAGUACCUGCGUUUCAAUGGAUCUUGCAUGCUCCCUGGAACAGAGAAACUAGGUUAUAAAACCCAUUGCAAUAACCCAAGUGAAAUAUGGCCAGGAUAUGAAUUAAAGCCAUGAUGUAUAAAGUUAAAAGGAAAUGAACCUACUGAAGAAAUAUCUAGGAGGUAAAAUCAACAGGAUUUAUGAGUGAAUGAGAGUGGGAUUAGUGAGGGGGAAAGACAGAAGUAGGUGAUAGUGUAGCCGGUAGCCACUAACCACAUAUGGUGGUUGAGCCCUAUUGACUAGUUUCCAUUAAGAUGUGCCAUAAGUGUUCAAAUAAACACUGAAUUUUGAAAACUUAAUACAAA
rnacentral:lncRNA from 10 species